UAAGCAACUGUCCUAUUUUCCAAUCCCCUUUUAACUCCAGCUUGUCACUUCUGGUUCUUAUUUGUUUAAUUGCAGCAAGUUUUCUACCCUGUAAAUUUUAAUAAAGUCCCAUCAGUCCUCUCUGGUCCUAAGCAUUCAGUUCUGCCUUGACUCUGAGGAGGACUGGGAUUCAACUCCAUCCCCGAUCCCAGGACUUUUUUUCUUUUCUCAGGGGACCAGGUUUGGGCCAGUAUUGCUACCUGCAUCCUCAACACUGACAAACCUUCUGACUUGAGUAGAGAUAACAACUUAAAUGUAAAGGGUCUAUUCACUACCUAUUCUAUUCACUAACGAGAGGACUUUUGUUUUCUCAAGUACUAAGAAAUGAAGCAGGCUCUCAUUCUAAGAGAAAAAAAAUCAUCUUAUUGUCACCUCAUCUAUGAAGCCAAAGGUUUCUUCUAUGAGGAAAGAUGGAGCCAUAAUUCUCCUCUCCAUUCAGUCCUGAGACCCAGCUUCUGCAGCCCUAGGCGGGAUAAGGUAUUGGUUUAUGGAAAAUGGAUAUUUAAGAUCAUAAAGAUAUUGCUGACACCCACUUACCCAAAGACACAAGCCCUGGAAGGAAACAUGGGAGUUAAUACCCUGUUACCUCUCCAUGGGUCUUGGGAUUCUGGCUCCAACAAUGUUGGGAUGUUUGUCUCUUACUAAGAGUGAAAUUCUCUGGAGACAAGGUUAUGUGACUAACUGAGACUCAGUUAGUCUGAGCUGCACCAGAAUGCUCUGGCCAAGAGUGUUCUCUUCAUACACUCCUGUAAGGUAACUAAAUCCUUAUCUCUUAGGGGCACCUGCUGUGUUGAGUAUAACAGAGGAUGUCAAUCAUGCUGUAAUCAAUAGAAUUCAGAUUUAAAUUAUCCAGCAUUAUGCCUGCUUGCAAUUCAAAACCAAACUCAUCAGUGGCAAAGAUUUCAUCAUCUUAUCAGAAAAACUCUCUUGGAAUUUAUUAGACUCAUUAUACUUGUGUACUUAAUUCCCACCAAGACCCCAGUGAAAUUAUCUUCAAAUCAGCUUGUUUAUGAUAAGCAGUCCAAAAUGACCUUCAAAAUCCUGGACAAGCCUGAAAACCUGAGAAGCAUGACAGUCUUCUACCAGGAGCAAGGGAUUUUCCAGGUUGGGUCCCCUUUUGUCUUCUUCCUUCUUUGCCUCCAGGGUGGGAUUUCUACCAACUCGUAGUAUUCUUUGGUUCCAGAGCCCUUCCUUUGCAAGGUAGCUCCAACAUCCUUAUACUGGGGAGGGUCCAGAGAGUCCAGGCCUGCAGUGCGGAAUACCAGUGCCUCUCUGUGUCCAGGAGGCAACACGUCUGCAUUUAUCAUGGUCAGAAUAAUAUCAACAUAUGCAAAAAGCAACUCCUGCCUUCAGGUCUCCAGCACCCAAAAACAAAAAUACGUCCAACAAACCUAAUAUAUUUUCCAGUGCGUGUCACAGAAGUUUGAAAAAACUCCUUAAAUUGCUUUUCUUUCCAUUUUUAUGGCCCUGGGAGGGAGGAAUAUCUAUCAAAUUUAAUAUAUGCAUUUUACUUUGUGACACUUUCAGAUUCAGCCAUAUCAUCUGUAAUGAAAACAGAGCAACCUUUAAAAUUAAAAAAAAAACAAAACAGAAGUCCUUUCUACCAGAGACAUGGCCUGAAUCAGUGCCAAAGAUUUCAAGCUGGUGAACCAGCAAAGGAGUCAGAUAAAUCAGAAUGAGUGUAACAGAUCUGAUCUAUUUCAGCUUGGAUUAACCUCUUCACUAUGUCUUCAAUGGCCAAAAAGCCUGGGUCACAGGAGUAAAAAUGUCUAAUAAAGCAGAACCCCGGAGAAAAAAAUUAAAAGAAGCGAAUCGCAUAAAGAAAAGUGAGACGUGUGACCACGGCAAUACAUGACCAGGCUAUGGUGAGGAUUGAGAAAGGCGAGGGAAACAUUCUUUACCAUGCCAAUCCAAAAGGCAGAUUUAUUUCACUUGUAUAUAAUAAUUCCAGAUCCCAGUGACAAUUUACAUUACUUGACAACAGCUGCUUGUAGGUCAGGUAACAAUAGCACUGAAUAACCUCGUAAUGAACAACUGUGGAUUUCACAUUGGUGUUAAUUGCAUUUCAUGCUCUUUGAAAGCCUCAAACAGGCAGUGUGAAAAACACAACCAGGUUCUUCUUUGCUUAUUUGUUUUCCCCUGGGAGAAAGCCUUUCCAAAUCCUUAGAAGGAAGGUAGAGGGUGAGAAGAUGAUCAUGCAUCACAGACCAAAAAGGUCUUUCUGGGCAACAGUUUGUGGAUGUUUUCUAAGAAUGAAGGACACCCAUUUAAGCUAAAAGGAGUGGGAGGAAAUGGUAAACCAGUCCAUUCUUGGGGGCUGACCAGGACUGAACAACAUUUUGUACAAGAUGAGCAGGGAAAUUAACAUACAGGGUUUACCCACUCUGUGUCAGUCAUGUGUUUGGUUUAAUUCUGCAACUUAAGUGUUAUAGUGACUGAAACAGCC
rnacentral:lncRNA from 1 species